rnacentral:rRNA from 1 species
AUUGAACGCUGGCGGCAUGCUUUACACAUGCAAGUCGAACGGUAACAGGCCUUCGGGUGCUGACGAGUGGCGAACGGGUGAGUAAUGCAUCGGAACGUACCCAGAGGUGGGGGAUAACGCAGCGAAAGCUGUGCUAAUACCGCAUGUGAUCUGAGGAUGAAAGCGGGGGACCGAGCAGCAAUGUUUGGCCUCGCGCCUUUGGAGCGGCCGAUGUCGGAUUAGCUAGUUGGUGGGGUAAAGGCCUACCAAGGCGACGAUCCGUAGCUGGUCUGAGAGGACGACCAGCCACACUGGGACUGAGACACGGCCCAGACUCCUACGGGAGGCAGCAGUGGGGAAUUUUGGACAAUGGGCGCAAGCCUGAUCCAGCAAUGCCGCGUGCGGGAAGAAGGCCUUCGGGUUGUAAACCGCUUUUGGCAGGAACGAAACGGUGUCCGCUAAUACCGGGCGCUAAUGACGGUACCUGGAGAAUAAGCACCGGCUAACUACGUG